GUCGGGAGUGGACCAAUACAAGACCCGCAAGGGAAAUACGUCCGGCCUUUUCUGCUUUGGGGUUUCUUAACUCCCGACACCUUCAG
rnacentral:ncRNA from 1 species